GAGACCCUCAUCCUGGGAGGAGUCACUCCUCCCGCAGUCAUGAGAGCGUGAGCCCCCCUCUCCCCAGAGGCUCUUCUUAGGCCCUGACCUUGCCCGGCCCACCCAAAGGGUCAACGGACCUCUGUAUGCAAAGCGGAACAGUCUACUGUUGGAUGGGGUUUCACCAUGAUGGCCAGGCUGGUCUUGAACUCCUGACCUCAGAUGAUCCACCCACCUUGGCCUCCCGAAGUGCUAGGAUUACAGGCGUGAGCCACCGCUCCCAGCAGAACUAUCCUUUUAUUUCAGGAAUAAAUUCUACUUGGUCAUAUGUAUAAUUUCGUUAAAUGUGUUUGCACUUGAUUUUCUACUAUUUUAUUAAAUAUUUUAAAAUCUAUGCUCAUUACAGAUAUUAAACUGUAGCUCAUUGCAGAUAUUAAA